rnacentral:tRNA from 1 species
GAGGGAUUAGACUAAAGGCUUAAGUCAUCAUUCUUACACAAUGAGAAUAGGGGUUCGAUUCCCUUAUCCCUUA